CUCUGCCUCAAAACACAGAGAAGGUGCUGCCCGUAGACUUGUCACGGCCCAGUGCAAAAUGAUGAUGUUGGGUUCAUUGUUCAAAAGUGGUCAGGAAUUUCAAGAUGUCAACGGCAGGGAUGAACAAAGUAUUGAGACCACCUGAGCAAGGACCCCAUGUGACUACACGGGUUUUCCUUGUUCCAGCAGGAUUUGUGGUGUGUGUGGUUUGGGCUCUCUCUGGCACCACCAGUCAACUUGUGUGGGGCAGAAGGGCAAAGGGAGGUAAGGCUUGAAAUCUAUUAGCAGUUCAGAAUCUAAAUUGGAGACAGACUCUGGACUACAAGCUCUCACCUCCCUCAAGUCUGCCCACCUGUCACUGUCUUGGUGACACCUACCUGAUAGUCUGAUUAAAAAUUUUACCUCAUCCCCCAGCUGUCCAGUUCCCUUACUGAGCUAUUUUUUGCCCGAGUCAUCUUUCAUAAACUACAGAUGGAGUUAUAUCCCAAUAAACUCACUCUAAGCUAAAAGUGCAUCUAACAUGCCCAACCUGCCAAACACCGUAGCCUAGCCACACCUAGAGAAUUCAUGUUGGAUUGUGUGGCUGGCUGGGAGCUGCUGCCUAGCAUCAUGAGAGAUGGUUGCACCAUGUAUCACUCUCCUGGGAAAAGAUCCAAACUCCAAACUCAAAACUCAAUAGGAGAUUUCUCCUGAAUGUAGCCUAUUGCUUCUGAACUAUUAUAAAGUCGAAAAAUGGUAAGUUGAACUAUUUGUUAAGUUGGGAUCUUUUGUAUAUAUUUUACUUCUAUUGUGGCUGUUGUCCAUCUCCCCUUAUUAGGAAGUAAGUUCUAUCUAAGGGAUUUUCAUCUCUUUUGUCCUGAAAACAAUACCAAGGCUGAAGGUAGAGCUCAAUAAUAUUUGUUGGAUGGCUGGCUGGAUAGAUGUGUGGAUGGAUGACAGAGACUCGCCUCAUAAAUCAAUCUGGAUGUGAGGGCUGGGGGGGUUGGCGAGGGGAUGGAGAUCCUGACCACAGGACAUCUGUCUUGUCUCUUCUUAUACAGGAGUCUUGACUUACACAAUGCUCUACCACCCAUUCCCUUUAAAAUGCAAACAGUGCCAGGGAUGAACAACCAUUUAGCACUAAGGUCAAGUUAGCAUAGUAAUACUUUGGGCCAUAAGACCAUGGACCAGAACGAGAGUGGUUGAAAUAUUGCCUUUAAAGUAUGAAACUGCAAACCGCAGGUUAGGAAUGACUGAGUGGAGUCGACAACAUGUUAAAGCUGAUUCAUAAAGCAGCCAUCAGAUGCCACUGUGUCAUCCUUAACUCCAGAUUCUCAAGUGGCUCUCACUCAGUCAAAGUGAGAGAAUGAUUAACCUUGAGAUGACUUACUCCCCCAGGGACCCCAUGACUCCUAGAUUGUCUGAAGAACAAGGUGAUCAUGAAGCCAUGGCGUGGGGUGGCAACUGUGGGAAGGAAGAGGAACAUUUUUCCAUAGGAAAAAUGCCCAGGUACACAGAGGAGGAACUAGGAGCCAGGCACCAGAAGUAGUCCUCACUUACCUGGUGCCUGAGGACCAGAGCUGGGCAUCUGAGCUGAUUUAACGGGUCAGGACUUUGACUCUACUUUCAGGUUUCUGGAUGACUUUAGUAUUAUGUCAAUUUAUCUCUUUUCUGGUGUCUUUGUUUAUGAAAUUUCAGAAAUGGGGGACAGGCAAGUGAAGGCCUCCUUCUAAAGCCAACAUUUUGUUAUCUUUGUCUGUUAUGAUCCACCAGAGAAAGCCCAAGCUACACAUCCAUAGCACUUAAUGUGUUCUUUGCAUUUUGGGGGUGCCAAAACAAAUUAUGCCUGAUUCUGGGCUUUCUCAUGGAUGCCUGCUGGAGUAAAUUAAGAGAGUAAAAAGAAUUUGCUAAAAAGAAAAGAAAACAUUUUUAAUAAGUUCACCUAUCAGCUAUGUACAGUGUUCAUUCCUGUAAGACUAGAGGCUCUGGAAGCCGAGGCAGGAGAAUCAAGUUCAAAGCCAGCCUUAGCAACUUAGCAAGGUACUAAGCAACUUAGCAAGACCCUGUCUCAAAAAUUAAACAGGGAUGGAGCUGUGGCUGAGUGGUUGAGUGGCCUAGGUUCAAUAUUUGGUACAAGAAGAAAAAAAUUCACCUAAAGUUCACUUGUCCCAAUUCUAUACUUUCCAGUACCCUGUGUGAAAUUCUGUCUCAUGAUUUCAUGGUCCUGAUUAUAGAAUUUGAAUGUUAUUUCAGUGAUGAGGAAGGCCUUCAGUCUCUCAUCCCUGCUCUGGACCACUUUCUCUGAGUUUGAAUGCCUUCUUCUCUGGGGGUUAAGGAUAUGGCUGCAUCUCAAUCAUUACACAAAUGGAAAGGGAAGCACCCAGGAGAAUUAUUGUCUCCAACUUCGAGACUGAAACAAAAUUAAAAUAUAAAGCAAAAAUCAUUAAUCAUGGCUUGGAGAUGACAGUGAAUGUUCACCUUGGGAAUUUAAAGUAACACAAUUAAAAAUUAUUCUAUGCCUCAUAUGUCAAUCUUUGGGAUGCUUGUAUCAGUCACAACAUUAACAAGAACAGAAAAUCUUCAGCACAUCAUACAGAGUUACGGAAAUAUCUCAAAGUCAAACUGAGGGUUAAAAAAACAGUUGUAGCACUUGUAAAAAACGAAAAAGAAAACAAAGACAGAAAACAGAACUCCUCUGUGUUCCAUGAACUUUGAGAAGAGCAAUAAUAGAAUUCCAACCUUAUAAAUAUCAAUGAGUCCUAUAAAUGAAUACAGAAAUACCCUCCCCCAGGAGGACACUAAGCCAUUGCUGCUCAGAGUACUGAUGUGACCACCGUGGGCCUCCUCCCAUCCUUCCCCUUGACAAAUGGAAAUAUUUAUUGUGUGAUUUUCUUCAAAACUAACUUCUCUUGUUGCUGUCUGCUUUCUGUUGUAGGUCUGUAGAUCAAGGCAAUCAGAUGCAGCCCAGAUGCAGAGAAUAUGUAACUCCCUGGGUUUGAUUGACAGACACUUGGGUAUUUCUCAUGAGAGGGUGAUAGAUGUUGCAUUCACAGGGGGCAAAGUCAACAUUUGUGUCUGCAAGGGUACACUGGAGUAGCUUCAUCACUGCUGUGAGCUGUUGUCUCCCUCUUUCUAUAAGAGGAUCAAGAGGAUUGCUGCCCCUUUAGCCCCACAUCUUGACCUUGUGACUUGCAAGGGUCAACAGGUGUGAGAAGAUAGGAUGUAUAGGCUGCUUCAGAGAAGAAGUUUUUAGAACCAAUGGGUCUUUCUGUCACCUCUUGAUUUUUUUUCUUUGGCCAUGACCAGGGUAUGUCCCAGGUAAAAGUCUCUCCCUCAGCUUUACCUAGAAUGAAGAUACAACCCACAGGCAACAUAAAAUAUGAGGAAAGAAUAAAUCAGCAACUUGAAGUUGUUUGCUACUGUAACAAAGAUAUAGUGAAAACUGACAGACUCUGGAAUUACCCAACUGUUAUUUAGCUGAUUACUCACAAGCCAGAGUCAAGCAAGGCUGUGCCUACAAAGCAUCUGGUCAGUAUAGUUGAAGGGUUUUCGUCAAAGUUGCAAUAUUCUGAGAAAUGAAGGGCUGGCAGCAUGUAAACAAAACAUCUGGAUUAUGAACGGAGAUUUGCAGGGCAAUGAUCAUGUGGCCUGCACUUGUGUUGUUUGGCAACAAUCAUCAUGCUCUAAGAAUGCUUGGUGCUUUGGGAUGUAGCAGUCAUCAUGUUCUAAGAAUGCUUGGUGCUUUGGGAUGUAGUGUAGGACCUCAAGACCCAGGCCCAGCAUUAGGUGACCAAACCCCUAGGCCUCAAAGCUGCAAGACGCUUCCUCACCCAACCCCCAUGUCAAAACC
rnacentral:lncRNA from 1 species